rnacentral:rRNA from 1 species
UACGUAGGGUGCGAGCGUUAAUCGGAAUUACUGGGCGUAAAGCGUGCGCAGGCGGUUCGUUAUGUCCGAUGUGAAAGCCCCGAGCUUAACUUGGGAAUGGCAUUGGAAACUGGCGGGCUGGAGUGCGGCAGAGGGGGGUGGAAUUCCACGUGUAGCAGUGAAAUGCGUAGAGAUGUGGAGGAACACCGAUGGCGAAGGCAAUCCCCUGGGCCUGCACUGACGCUCAUGCACGAAAGCGUGGGGAGCAAACAGG